UGGUGGAGUGAUCUGUCUGGUCAAUUUCGGUAACGAGCGAGAUCCCUAUGUGAUGGUUGCAAGGCGCGCUUAGGCGUGGUCGUGCUCCUAUCCAGACCGCCAGCGCAAGCUGGAGGAAGUUGGGGGCUAAAUCA
rnacentral:rRNA from 1 species